UACGUAGGGUGCGAGCGUUGUCCGGAAUUAUUGGGCGUAAAGGGCUCGUAGGCGGUUUGUCGCGUCGGGAGUGAAAACACCGGGCUUAACUCGGUGCUUGCUUUCGAUACGGGCAGACUAGAGGCAUGCAGGGGAGAACGGAAUUCCUGGUGUAGCGGUGAAAUGCACAGAUAUCAGGAGGAACACCGGUGGCGAAGGCGGUUCUCUGGGCAUGUCCUGACGCUGAGGAGCGAAAGUGUGGGGAGCGAACAGG
rnacentral:rRNA from 1 species